GAUGAACGCUGGCGGCGUGCCUAAUACAUGCAAGUCGAGCGAACAGACGAGGAGCUUGCUCCUCUGACGUUAGCGGCGGACGGGUGAGUAACACGUGGAUAACCUACCUAUAAGACUGGGAUAACUUCGGGAAACCGGAGCUAAUACCGGAUAACAUGUUGAACCGCAUGGUUCAACAGUGAAAGACGGUUUUGCUGUCACUUAUAGAUGGAUCCGCGUCGCAUUAGCUAGUUGGUAAGGUAACGGCUUACCAAGGCAACGAUGCGUAGCCGACCUGAGAGGGUGAUCGGCCACACUGGAACUGAGACACGGUCCAGGCUCCUACGGGAGGCCGCAGUAGGGAAUCUUCCGCAAUGGGCGAAAGCCUGACGGAGCAACGCCGCGUGAGUGAAGAAGGUCUUCGGAUCGUAAAACUCUGUUAUUAGGGAAGAACAAAUGUGUAAGUAACGAUGCGCGUCUUGACGGUACCUAAUCAGAAAGCCACGGCUAACUACGU
rnacentral:rRNA from 1 species